rnacentral:rRNA from 1 species
UACGGGGGGGGCAAGCGUUGUUCGGAAUUACUGGGCGUAAAGGGCUCGUAGGCGGCCCUCUCAGUCGGAUGUGAAAUCCCCAGGCUCAACCUGGGAAUGGCAUCCGAUACUGGAGGGCUUGAAUUCGGGAGAGGGAUGCAGAAUUCCAGGUGUAGCGGUGAAAUGCGUAGAUAUCUGGAGGAAUACCAGUGGCGAAGGCGGCAUCCUGGACCGAGAUUGACGCUGAGGAGCGAAAGCUAGGGGAGCAAACGGG